AUUGUCAAAUAGUUAAAUCUACUCUUGGUCAGCUGUAAAAGCAGGUUUCAUUUACACUGAUGAUAACACCCACCUGCGGGUGAAAAUAUCUUCAAAGAUGUUGACCUCAAACAGCACUAUAAUUAACACUGACAACACUGACCAUAGAUGUAACCUCCAGAUUGGGGAGACAAGCAUGGGAGUGUAGAUGUCUGGAAUGUAGAGUAGUAGACUCUCAUUAUGACAUCAUUAGAACACACUGAAGACAGGUUUAUAAUGACACAUCUCUCAUUAUGACAUCAUUAUGACAGACUGAAGACAGGUUUAUAAUGACACAUCUCUCAUUAUGACAGACUGAAGACAGGUUUAUAAUGACACAUCUCUCAUUAUGACAUCAUUAUGACAGACUGAAGACAGGUUUAUAAUGACACAUCUCUCAUUAUGACAUCAUUAUGACAGACUGAAGACAGGUUUAUAAUGACACAUCUCUCAUUAUGACAGACUGAAGACAGGUUUAUAAUGACACAUCUCUCAUUAUGACAUCAUUAUGACAGACUGAAGACAGGUUUAUAAUGACACAUCUCUCAUUAUGACAUCAUUAUGACAGACUGAAGACAGGUUUAUAAUGACACAUCUCUCAUUAUGACAUCAUUAUGACAGACUGAAGACAGGUUUAUAAUGACACAUCUCUCAUUAGAACAGACUGAAGACAGGUUUAUAAUGACACAUCUCUCAUUAUGACAUCAUUAUGACAGACUGAAGACAGGUUUAUAAUGACACAUCUCUCAUUAUGACAGACUGAAGACAGGUUUAUAAUGACACAUCUCUCAUUAUGACAUCAUUAUGACAGACUGAAGACAGGUUUAUAAUGACACAUCUCUCAUUAUGACAGACUGAAGACAGGUUUAUAAUGACACAUCUCUCAUUAUGACAGUGUGUGAUAGAACAGGCAAAGCAAAGGAAUGGCCAGAUGAAAUGUUUCAAAUGCUUCUUUCAUAGCUAGAUAACGUAAUUUGUGUAAUUAAGUUCUUACUAACAGUAUGAGUAUAGAAGAGACUUAUAAUAACUUCCUGUGUGUGUGUGUGUGUGUGUGGUGUGUGUGUG